GAAAGUUUAGGCACAGGACUGACGGGCUUACGUGCUCUACAAGGCAAACGUCGCGAACUUCUUAACUCUGAGCUGGCACUGAGAAUUCCUUGACAGAAAAAUCUAGUAUUAUUUUUGGCCCAACCCGGG